AUUGAACGCUGGCGGAAUGCUUUACACAUGCAAGUCGAACGGCAGCACGGGGCAACCUGGUGGCGAGUGGCGAACGGGUGAGUAAUACAUCGGAACGUGCCCAGUCGUGGGGGAUAACGUAGCGAAAGUUACGCUAAUACCGCAUACGAUCUAUGGAUGAAAGCGGGGGAUCGCAAGACCUCGCGCGAUUGGAGCGGCCGAUGUCAGAUCAGGUAGUUGGUGGGGUAAAGGCCUACCAAGCCGACGAUCUGUAGCUGGUCUGAGAGGACGACCAGCCACACUGGGACUGAGACACGGCCCAGACUCCUACGGGAGGCAGCAGUGGGGAAUUUUGGACAAUGGGCGCAAGCCUGAUCCAGCCAUUCCGCGUGCAGGAUGAAGGCCUUCGGGUUGUAAACUGCUUUUGUACGGAACGAAAAGGCUCUGGUUAAUACCUGGGGCUCAUGACGGUACCGUAAGAAUAAGCACCGGCUAACUACGUGCCAGCAGCCGCGGUAAUACGUAGGGUGCAAGCGUUAAUCGGAAUUACUGGGCGUAAAGCGUGCGCAGGCGGUUGUGUAAGACAGAUGUGAAAUCCCCGGGCUCAACCUGGGAACUGCAUUUGUGACUGCACAGCUAGAGUACGGCAGAGGGGGAUGGAAUUCCGCGUGUAGCAGUGAAAUGCGUAGAUAUGCGGAGGAACACCGAUGGCGAAGGCAAUCCCCUGGGCCUGUACUGACGCUCAUGCACGAAAGCGUGGGGAGCAAACAGGAUUAGAUA
rnacentral:rRNA from 1 species